rnacentral:rRNA from 1 species
CCCGGCUAACUACGUGCCAGCAGCCCGCGGUAAUACGUAGGGGGCAAGCGUUGUCCGGAUUCAUUGGGCGUAAAGAGCUCGUAGGCGGUUCAGUAAGUCGGGUGUGAAAGCUCCGAGCUCAACUCGGAGAGGCCACCCGAUACUGCUGUGACUUGAGUCCAGUAGAGGAGCGUGGAACUCCUGGUGUAGCGGUGGAAUGCGCAGAUAUCAGGAAGAACACCUGCAGCGAAGGCGGCGCUCUGGGCUGGAACUGACGCUGAGGAGCAAAAGCGUGGGUAGCAAACAGGAUUAGAUACCCUGGUAGUCCACGCCGUAAACGUUGGGCACUAGGUGUGGGGAGCCGUCAACGCUCUCUGUGCCGUAGCUAACGCAUUAAGUGCCCCGCCUGGGGAGUACGGCCGCAAGGCUAAAACUCAAAGGAAUUGACGGGGGCCCGCACAAGCGGCGGAGCAUGUUGCUUAAUUCGAGGCAACGCGAAGAACCUUACCUAGGUUGAACUAUGCAGGAAAAGCCACAGAGAUGUGGUGUCCCUUCGGG